AUUGAUCGCUGGCGGCAGGCCUAACACAUGCACGUCGAGCGAGCGGCGGACGGGUGAGUAAUGUAUGGGGACUGCCCGAUAGCGGGGGAUAACUACUGGAAACGGUAGCUAAUACCGCAUACUAUCGGAUAACCCAUAUGGGAUUGUCUAGUAGGUGAGGUAAUGGCUCACCUAGGCGACGAUCCCUAGCUGGGCUGAGAGGAUGAUCAGCCACACUUGGACUGAGAAAAGGCCCAGACUCCAACGGAGUCAGCAGUGGGGAAGUUUGCACAAUGGGCGCAAGCCUGAUGCAGCCAUGCCGCGUGUAUGAAGAAGGCCCUAGGGAUGUAAAGUACUUUCAGUAGGGAGGCGUUACCGACAGAAGAAGCACCGGCUAACUCCGUGCCAGCAGCCGCGGUAAUAC
rnacentral:rRNA from 1 species